rnacentral:misc_RNA from 1 species
UAAUAAGUGUUUUAUGGCACUUUUUAAAUCCAUAUCCACCUUGUGUGCAAUGUCAGCCGAUCUUCUUCAUGGAGAUCGACCAAACAUCAACCUUUAUCUUUUAACUCUUUGUCUGAAAAAUAUUAUGAAUAAACAAUUCAAAAUA